AUUGAACGCUGGCGGCAGGCCUAACACAUGCAAGUCGAACGAGCGGCGGACGGGUGAGUAAUGUCUGGGAAACUGCCCGAUGGAGGGGGAUAACUACUGGAAACGGUAGCUAAUACCGCAUACCAUCGGAUGUGCCCAUAUGGGAUUAGCUGGUAGGUGAGGUAAUGGCUCACCAAGGCGACGCUCCCUAGCUGGUCUGAGAGGAUGACCAGCCACACUGGAACUGAGACACGGUCCAGACUCCUACGGGAGGCAGCAGUGGGGAAUAUUGCACAAUGGGCGCAAGCCUGAUGCAGCCAUGCCGCGUGUAUGAAGAAGGCCUUCGGGUUGUAAAGUACUUUCAGCGGGGAGGCGUUACCCGCAGAAGAAGCACCGGCUAACUCCGUGCCAGCAGCCGCGGUAAUUC
rnacentral:rRNA from 1 species